CAGCCGCCGCGGGAAAACGUAGGGCGCAAGCGUUGUCCGGAAUUAUUGGGCGUAAAGAGCUCGUAGGCGGUCUGUCGCGUCUGGUGUGAAAUCCCGAGGCUCAACCUCGGGCUUGCAUCGGGUACGGGCAGACUAGAGUGCGGUAGGGGAGACUGGAAUUCCUGGUGUAGCGGUGGAAUGCGCAGAUAUCAGGAGGAACACCGAUGGCGAAGGCAGGUCUCUGGGCCGCAACUGACGCUGAGGAGCGAAAGCAUGGGGAGCGAACAGGAUUAGAGACCCCAGUAGUCCCUGUCUCUUAUAC
rnacentral:rRNA from 1 species